GGCGUGAUGGCCGAGUGGUUAGGCUCGGUAAUACAGCCUUAGGAUCUGGGCGGUGCCAUGGUAGUGGUUCGGAAUCCACUUUAAACCG